GAUUUGUGGCUUGGUGUUCCUGGCCCGCCGCGGUUUCGCGUGUGAGUGCCGGGGUUUCACCUGCCAUCCUUCCCGCUUGCUUGCGCGUUCCGCAAGGUUUGCGCAUGGCGAGUGGGAUCGUUUACUUUGAAAAAAUUAGAGUGUUUAAAGCAGGCUUAUGCUGUGAAUACAUUAGCAUGGAAUAAUAGAUUAGGACUUUGGUUCUAUUUUCUAUUGGUUGUUAGGACUGAAGUAAUGAUUGAUAGGGAUAGUUGGGGGUGCUAGUAUUCAGUGGCCAGAGGUGAAAUUCUUGGAUUCCCUGAAGACUAACUUAUGCGAAAGCAUU
rnacentral:rRNA from 1 species